AUGUUAACCAUAGAUGAGUUUGAGGAAGGCUGGAAGUACCUCAUAGAGAAAUACAACCUGAAGAGCCACGAUUAUAUGACAAAUUUGUACGAGAUAAGGCCCAAGUGUGUGAAGCCAUACUUCAAGGGAGUCUUCUGUGCAAAGAUGAGUAGUACGCAACGGAGUGAAAGUGCUAACCACAUGCUGAAGAACUAUGUGCCUCUUGGAAGCCCAAUGCAUAUCUUUGUCAGGAAGUAUAUGAGCUUAAUAUUUGACUGGGAAGCAGAAGAGAAUUAUGAGGAGAAGCGGACAACAAUAGGGAGGCCACUAAUGCGAGCAAAUUUGGCUACCGAGAGGCAUGCUGGGAAAAUAUAA
rnacentral:rRNA from 1 species